UACGUAGGAUCCGAGCGUUGUCCGGAUUUACUGGGUGUAAAGGGUGCGUAGGCGGCGCGGUAAGUCGGGUGUGAAAUCUCGGAGCUUAACUCCGAAACUGCAUUCGAUACUGCCGUGCUUGAGGACUGGAGAGGAGACUGGAAUUUACGGUGUAGCGGUGAAAUGCGUAGAUAUCGUAAGGAAGACCAGUGGCGAAGGCGGGUCUCUGGACAGUUCCUGACGCUGAGGCACGAAGGUCAGGGGAGCAAACGGG
rnacentral:rRNA from 1 species